rnacentral:rRNA from 1 species
GACGAACGCUGGCGGCGUGCUUAACACAUGCAAGUCGAACGGAAAGGCCCUGCUCUUGCUGGGUGCUCGUGUGGCGAACGGGUGUGAAACACGUGAGUAUCCCCCCCUUGACUGUGGGAUAACUCCAGGAAACUGGGGCUAAUACCGGAGAGGAGCUCCUGCUGCAUGGGGGGCGUUGGAAAGUUUCGGCGGUUGGGGAUGGACUCGCGGCUUAUCAGCUUGUUGGUGGGGUAGUGGCUUACCCAGGCUUUGACGGGUAGCCGGCCUGAGAGGGUGACCGGCCACAUUGGGACUGAGAUACGGCCCAGACUCCUACGGGAGGCAGCAGUGGGGAAUAUUGCACAAUGGGCGGAAGCCUGAUGCAGCAACGCCGCGUGCGGGAUGACGGCCUUCGGGUUGUAAACCGCUUUCGCCUGUGACGAAGCGUGAGUGACGGUAAUGGGUAAAGAAGCACCGGCUAACUACGUG